rnacentral:rRNA from 1 species
UCGGGAAUUUUGGGCAAUGGGGGAGACCCUGACCCAGCAACGCCGCGUGAAGGAUGAAGUAUUUCGGUAUGUAAACUUCGAAAGAAUAGGAAGAAUAAAUGACGGUACUAUUUAUAAGGUCCGGCUAACUACGUGCCAGCAGCCGCGGUAAUACGUAGGGACCAAGCGUUGUUCGGAUUUACUGGGCGUAAAGGGCGCGUAGGCGGCAUGACAAGUCACUUGUGAAAUCUCUGGGCUUAACCCAGAACGGCCAAGUGAUACUGUCGCGCUAGAGUGCAGAAGGGGCAAUCGGAAUUCUUGGUGUAGCGGUGAAAUGCGUAGAUAUCAAGAGGAACACCUGAGGUGAAGACGGGUUGCUGGGCUGACACUGACGCUGAGGCGCGAAAGCCAGGGGAGCAAACGGGAUUAGAUACCCCUGUAGUCCCUGAGCGGGCUGGCAAGGCGCAU